CAGAGUCACUAACCAGAUGCAGAGGAAGCAGGAUGGGCAGUACUGAGUUAAGCAACCAUUUCCAACGAAGCCACCUAGGAAGGAGAGGAACAGUUGGGACAUGUCCCAUCAGUACUUGGGACACUUUCCUGUGGGAGACCCUCCUAUUUAUAAAGCCAGACCAGGAAAAACCUGUCUCAAGCAAUGGUGGGGACAGCUAUUUGCAAGCCAGCUGUCAGCAGCAGCAGGAAACAUAACUCAACGUGACCAGUUCUGCAGCUUGCAGAAUUCCUUCCAGGAUCAUCACUCAGGUGUAGCCAGGAUCUUCACACACACACACACACACACACACACACACACACACACACACUUUCAAGCUUCCUCUCUGACCAGAGAAGACCUUUGGAGACUGGAGAUCAGACACUUGGCCCUGGGAGGCUUCAACUGAAGACAGAGAUCCCUCUGCACCCCGUGAACACUCCACUCCACCCUUGAAGUCCUAGGUCAUCCCCAUUGCCCCUUAGCCUAAACGGCCUUUGCUUAGCUCUAUGUUGGAUUCAGCCAUUGUGCCCCUCCUUCUUUGGGACUUGCACUGAAUCUGUGUGGCUCCCAUGUUUAGUGUAUAAUAAGUUUGUAUGUUCUUCUUCCUUAAUUAAUUUAUCUCCGCACAAACUCAAAUUAUCAAAACCUCAAAGGGGGAAAAAUGGAAACGUUCCUACUUUGCACUGAGCCCUCCUAGAUAAUAACCCAAGAAAAUUUUUCUUAUCUUGAAGUCAAUGGGUUAGAAAACUGAAUUCCAUCUUUAAGCCUUAAAAUCUUGUUCUUUCACCUUACAAAUAGUCAGUCUCCCUUAAAGGUGCUGCCCUUGAUGGGGUGACCACACUAGAGUAGAUGGCAUGAGCACAAAUUGAACUCUGUGGGUUAUUAAAAAAAACAUGAAGUUAGGAGAGUGGGACAUGGACAUAGGAGGAGGUGGGGUAGAAGGCAGGGUGUGUCUGAUCACAAAUGCAUUGUAUGAAUGUAUGAAUUCUCAAAGAAUUAAUAAAAACAACAACAAAUUCCUAAUCCCUGUCAUCAGAGAGGCAGAGUUGAAUCCAGAGGUUCACAACCACCCAUGCUCAGCAGCCUAUGAAUCAAAUUGUCUGUGUGGAUUUUACUAUAAAAUAGAUGGUUUUAUUACAUUUCACUGUCUGGUACCUAUUAAAUGUUCUGCAUAAGUGA